GAUGAACGCUGGCGGCGUGCCUAAUACAUGCAAGUCGAGCGAACAGAUGAGAAGCUUGCUUCUCUGAUGUUAGCGGCGGACGGGUGAGUAACACGUGGGUAACCUACCUAUAAGACUGGGAUAACUCCGGGAAACCGGGGCUAAUACCGGAUAAUAUUUUGAACCGCAUGGUACAAUAGUGAAAGACGGUUUCGGCUGUCACUUAUAGAUGGACCCGCGCCGUAUUAGCUAGUUGGUAAGGUAACGGCUUACCAAGGCGACGAUACGUAGCCGACCUGAGAGGGUGAUCGGCCACACGGGAACUGAGACACGGUCCAGACUCCGACGGGAGGCAGCAGUAGGGAAUCUUCCGCAAUGGGCGAAAGCCUGACGGAGCAACGCCGCGUGAGUGAUGAAGGUCUUCGGAUCGUAAAACUCUGUUGUUAGGGAAGAACAAAUUUGUUAGUAACUGAACAAGUCUUGACGGUACCUAACCAGAAAGCCACGGCUAACUACGUGCCAGCCGCCGCCGUAA
rnacentral:rRNA from 1 species